rnacentral:rRNA from 1 species
UAGAGUUUGAUCCUGGCUCAGAUUGAACGCUGGCGGCAGGCCUAACACAUGCAAGUCGAGCGGAUGAGAAGAGCUUGCUCUUCGAUUCAGCGGCGGACGGGUGAGUAAUGCCUAGGAAUCUGCCUGGUAGUGGGGGACAACGUUUCGAAAGGAACGCUAAUACCGCAUACGUCCUACGGGAGAAAGCAGGGGACCUUCGGGCCUUGCGCUAUCAGAUGAGCCUAGGUCGGAUUAGCUAGUUGGUGAGGUAAUGGCUCACCAAGGCGACGAUCCGUAACUGGUCUGAGAGGAUGAUCAGUCACACUGGAACUGAGACACGGUCCAGACUCCUACGGGAGGCAGCAGUGGGGAAUAUUGGACAAUGGGCGAAAGCCUGAUCCAGCCAUGCCGCGUGUGUGAAGAAGGUCUUCGGAUUGUAAAGCACUUUAAGUUGGGAGGAAGGGCAGUAAGAUAAUACCUUGCUGUUUUGACGUUACCGACAGAAUAAGCACCGGCUAACUCUGUGCCAGCAGCCGCGGUAAUACAGAGGGUGCAAGCGUUAAUCGGAAUUACUGGGCGUAAAGCGCGCGUAGGUGGUUUGUUAAGUUGGAUGUGAAAGCCCCGGGCUCAACCUGGGAACUGCAUCCAAAACUGGCAAGCUAGAGUACGGUAGAGGGUGGUGGAAUUUCCUGUGUAGCGGUGAAAUGCGUAGAUAUAGGAAGGAACACCAGUGGCGAAGGCGACCACCUGGACUGAUACUGACACUGAGGUGCGAAAGCGUGGGG